rnacentral:rRNA from 1 species
AUUGAACGCUGGCGGAAUGCUUUACACAUGCAAGUCGAACGGCAGCACGGGUGCUUGCACCUGGUGGCGAGUGGCGAACGGGUGAGUAAUACAUCGGAACGUACCCAGUCGUGGGGGAUAACGUAGCGAAAGUUACGCUAAUACCGCAUACGUCCUGAGGGAGAAAGCGGGGGACCGUAAGGCCUCGCGCGAUUGGAGCGGCCGAUGGCGGAUGAGCUAGUUGGUGGGGUAAAGGCCUACCAAGGCGACGAUCCGUAGCGGGUCUGAGAGGACGGCCAGCCAAACUGGAACUGAGACACGGUCCAGACUCCUACGGGAGGCAGCAGUGGGGAAUUUUGGACAAUGGGCGAAAGCCUGAUCCAGCCAUUCCGCGUGAGUGAAGAAGGCCUUCGGGUUGUAAAGCUCUUUCGGCAGGGAAGAAACGGCUUGGGAUAAUACCCCGGGCUAAUGACGGUACCUGAAGAAGAAGCGCCGGCUAACUACGUGCCAGCCGCCGCCGUAA